rnacentral:lncRNA from 1 species
GAAUUUUUUUGGGAUUUUUUUGGGAUUUUUUUGGGAUUUUUUUGGGGGUUUUUGGGUCGUUUCCGGCCCCCGGAAAAAUUCCCAAAAUUCACCCAAAAUUCCCCUAAAAAUCCCCAAAAUUCCCAAAAUUCACCCCAGAAUUCCCCCAAAAAUUCCCAAAAUUCACCCAAAAUCCCCAAAAAUUCCCAAAAUUCCCAAAAAAUCCCAAAAAAAUCCCCCAAAAUCUCCAAAAUUCCCCCAAAAAAUCCCCAAAAAAUCCCUAAAAUUUCCCAAAAUUCACCAAAAAAACCCAAAAAUUCCCCCCAAAAUUCCCAAAAUUCCCCCCCAAAAUCCCCAAAAAUUCCCAAAAUUCACCCAAAAAAUCCCCAAAAUUUCCCAAAAUCCCCGAAAAAUCCCCCAAAAAUCCCCAAAAAUUCCCAAAAAUUCACCCAAAAAAUUCGCAAAAUUCCCCAAAAAGUCAUAAAAUUCCCCCAAAAAAUCCCCAAAAUUCCCAAAAUCCCCCCAAAUCCCCCGAAAAUUCCCAAAAUUCACCCAAAAAUCCCCAAAAAAUCCCCAAAAAAUCCCCCAAAAUCUCCAAAAUUCCCAAAAUUCCCCAAAAAUUCCCCAAAAAUUCCCCAAAUUCCCCCAAAAUCUCCAAAAUUCCCAAAAUUCACCCAAAAAUCCCCCAAAAUUAACAAAAUUUCCCAAAAAAUCCCCCAAAAUUCCCAAAAUUCACCCAAAAAGUCCCCGAAAAAUCCCAAAAUUCACCCAAAAAUCCCCCCAAAAAAUCCCCCAAAAAUCCAAUAUCUCCAAAAUUCCCAAAAUUCACCCAAAAAUCCCCAAAAUUCCUCAAGAUUCCUCCAAAAUUCCCCCAAAUUCCCCCAAAAUUUCCCCCAAAUCCUCAAAAAUUCCCAAAAUUCCCCCAAAAUUCCCCCAAAAUUCCCCCAAAAAAUCCCCCAAAAAUCCCCCAAUAUCUCCAAAAUUCCCCCAAAAUUCCCCAAAAAUUCCCAAAAUUCACCCAAAAAUCCCCAAAAUUUCCCAAAAUCCCCGAAAAAUCCCCAAAAUUCCCCCCAAAAUUCCCCCCAAAAAAUCCCAAAAAAAUCCCCCAAAAUCUCCAAAAUUUCCCAAAAUUCACCCAAAAAUUCUUAA